GAUGAACGCUGGCGGCGUGCCUAAUACAUGCAAGUCGAGCGAACAGAUGAGGAGCUUGCUCCUCUGACGUUAGCGGCGGACGGGUGAGUAACACGUGGAUAACCUACCUAUAAGACUGGGAUAACUUCGGGAAACCGGAGCUAAUACCGGAUAAUCUAUUGAACCGCAUGGUUCAAUAGUGAAAGACGGUUUUGCUGUCACUUAUAGAUGGAUCCGCGCCGCAUUAGCUAGUUGGUAAGGUAACGGCUUACCAAGGCAACGAUGCGUAGCCGACCUGAGAGGGUGAUCGGCCACACUGGAACUGAGACACGGUCCAGACUCCUACGGGAGGCAGCAGUAGGGAAUCUUCCGCAAUGGGCGAAAACCUGACGGAGCAACGCCGCGUGAGUGAUGAAGGUCUUCGGAUCGUAAAACUCUGUUAUUAGGGAAGAACAAAUGUGUAAGUAACUAUGCACGUCUUGACGGUACCUAAUCAGAAAGCCACGGCUAACUACGUG
rnacentral:rRNA from 1 species